CCUACGGGAGGCAGCAGUGGGGAAUAUUGCACAAUGGGGGAAACCCUGAUGCAGCGACGCCGCGUGAGUGAAGAAGUAUUUCGUUAUGUAAAGCUCUAUCAGCAGGGAAGAAAAUGACGGUACCUGAGUAAGAAGCCCCGGCUAACUCCGUGCCAGCAGCCGCGGUAAUACGCAGGGGGCAAGCGUUAUCCGGAUUUACUGGGUGUAAAGGGAGCGUAGGCGGGAGUGCAAGUCUGAAGUGAAAGGCGGGGGCUCAACCCCCGGACUGCACUGGAAACUGUACGGCUGGAGUGCAGGAGAGGUAAGUGGAAUGCCUGGUGUAGCGGUGAAAUGCGUAGAGAUUAGGAGGAACACCAGUGGCGAAGGCAGCAUACC
rnacentral:rRNA from 1 species